UUCAUCUUUGAGAAGGAGGUUUUCCUGCUCCACAACGUGGGUCUGUAUUUUCACCUGAGAAAGUUCUGCUUCCAGAGAAGACACCAAAGUGGAAGACUAAGAAGAAAAUAAAAAAGUCAGAGAACAGACAUAUUCACACAGGCCGGAGGAACUGACUAGGUACACAAAGGGAUCGAACUCAGGACCUUGCGUUUGCAAGGCAGGCAACAGCACCACUGAGCAACAUCCCCGGUCCUACCCAAUGCUAUCUUCGAGGACUUUCUAAACGGCCUGAAUAGGAUUACUAAGGUUCUGCAGCUGCUCCCGGUGUGCCCGCUCCAGGUCCUGCAUCAGGCCCCGCACCCUCUCCUCCGUCCAGGAGCUGCUCCGGAGUCCUUCCCUCUCCUGGCUGAAGCCC